GGCUGCCGCGGGGACCCCGGGCCGGGCUGGGCUGGGCUGGAGGCGGGCCCGCGGCUGC
ensembl:miRNA